rnacentral:rRNA from 1 species
UACGGAGGGUGCAAACGUUGCUCGGAAUCAUUGGGCGUAAAGCGCACGUAGGCGGACUGCUAAGUCGGACGUGAAAUCCCUCAGCUUAACUGAGGAAGUGCAUUCGAAACUAGCAGUCUUGAGUACAGGAGAGGGUCGCGGAAUUCCCGGUGUAGAGGUGAAAUUCGUAGAUAUCGGGAGGAACACCAGUGGCGAAGGCGGCGGCCUGGACUGAUACUGACGCUGAGGCGCGAAGGCUAGGGGGAGCAAACGGG